GGAGACGUAUCGAAGUGGCCAUAACGAGACUGACUCGAAAUCAGUUUGUCGCGUAAGCGGCACGAGGGUUCGAAUCCCUCCGUCUCCG
rnacentral:tRNA from 1 species